rnacentral:rRNA from 1 species
CGGUGGAGCAUGUGGUUAAUUCGAAGCAACGCGAAGAACUUACCAGGCCUUGACAUGCAGAGAACUUUCAGAGAUGGAUUGGUGCCUUCGGGAACUCUGACACAGGUGCUGCAUGGCUGUCGUCAGCUCGCGUCGUGAGAUGUUGGGUUAAGUCCGUAACGAGCGCAACCCUUGUCCUUAGUUACCAGCACGUUAUGGUGGGCACUCUAAGGAGACUGCCGGUGACAAACCGGAGGAAGGUGGGGAUGACGUCAAGUCAUCAUGGCCCUUACGGCCUGGGCUACACACGUGCUACAAUGGUCGGUACAAAGGGUUGCCAAGCCGCGAGGUGGAGCUAAUCCCAUAAAACCGAUCGUAGUCCGGAUCGCAGUCUGCAACUCGACUGCGUGAAGUCGGAAUCGCUAGUAAUCGUGAAUCAGAAUGUCACGGUGAAUACGUUCCCGGGCCUU